CCGAGACCCUUAAACAAAACAGACCGCGAACGAGCCCCCCGUGCCGCCGGGCCCAGGCCCGGCACCAGGACCCUCGGCCCCGUCUUCGGGGAAGGGGGACGCAACAGAACCCACGGCGCCUGAGGCGCCAAGGAACACCCGUACUACCAUCCGCGCGGCGGAGCGGUCGGCCUGCCUUCCGCUCCCCGGGCGGCGGUGACAUCUUAAUCCACACGACUCUCGGCAACGGAUAUCUCGGCUCUCACAUCGAUGAAGAACGUAGCAAAAUGCGAUACCUGGUGUGAAUUGCAGAAUCCCGCGAACCAUCGAGUUUUUGAACGCAAGUUGCGCCCGAAGCCUUCUGGCGGAGGGCACGUCUGCCUGGGCGUCACGCCAAAAGACACUCCCAACACCCCCACGCGGUGAGGGACGUGGCGUCUGGCCCCCCGCGCCGCAGGGCGCGGCGGGCCGAAGCAGGGGCUGCCGGCGAACCGCGCCGGGCGCAGCACGUGGUGGGCGACAUCAAGUUGUUCUCGGCGCAGCGGCCCGGCGCGCGGCCGGCGUGUCGGCCCUACGGACCCAUGGAGCGACCGAGCGCGACGCCGCUCGGACC
rnacentral:rRNA from 1 species